AUAGACUGCCAGAGUAAGAAAUUACUUAAUCCAACUGCCCCCCUCAUUUUAUAGGGGAGAACUAAGAGAAGAUAAUGACUUGUCCUUGGAGACACAGGAAAUGAGUGACAGGGUGAAAUACUACUGAAGGACACUGGAACUAGAAAGAAGGCUUUUAAAGAAAGCAGCGCUUCAUUUUCUACUUAAUAAUGUUGUG
rnacentral:lncRNA from 1 species